GUCGAACGGAAAGGCCCUGCUUGCAGGGUACUCGAGUGGCGAACGGGUGAGUAACACGUGGGUGAUCUGCCCUGCACUUCGGGAUAAGCUUGGGAAACUGGGUCUAAUACCGGAUAGGAACCAUCUUUAGUGUGGUGGUUGGAAAGUUUUUUCGGUGUAGGAUGAGCUCGCGGCCUAUCAGCUUGUUGGUGGGGUAAUGGCCUACCAAGGCGGCGACGGGUAGCCGGCCUGAGAGGGUGUACGGCCACAUUGGGACUGAGAUACGGCCCAGACUCCUACGGGAGGCAGCAGUGGGGAAUAUUGCACAAUGGGCGCAAGCCUGAUGCAGCGACGCCGCGUGGGGGAUGAAGGCCUUCGGGUUGUAAACUCCUUUCGCUAGGGACGAAGCUUUUUGUGACGGUACCUAGAUAAGAAGCACCGGCUAACUACGUGCCAGCAGCCGCGGUAAUACGUAGGGUGCGAGCGUUGUCCGGAAUUACUGGGCGUAAAGGGCUCGUAGGUGGUUUGUCGCGUCGUCUGUGAAAUUCUGGGGCUUAACUCCGGGCGUGCAGGCGAUACGGGCAUAACUUGAGUGCUGUAGGGGUAACUGGAAUUCCUGGUGUAGCGGUGAAAUGCGCAGAUAUCAGGAGGAACACCGAUGGCGAAGGCAGGUUACUG
rnacentral:rRNA from 1 species